ACACAGAAAGGGGAGUACUAAACACUGGGGUCUAUUGGGGGGAAAAGGGGAGGGCCAGUGGGAGGGGGAGGUGGGGAGGGAUAGCCUGGGGAGAAAUGCCAAAUGUGGGUGAAGGGGAGAAGAAAAGCAAAGCACACUGUCAUGUGUGUACCUACGCAACUGUCUUGCAUGCUCUGCUCAUGUACCCCAAAACCUAAAAUCCAAUAAAAAAAAAAAAGAAGAUAAAAAAAAAAAAAAGAAAUGUAUUUUACAUGGAAAUUCUUUCAGCCAGAGUGCAAUCUUCCAUGGAUAUUAGAGAGCUCAGGCAGCAAAGAAACCCUAUAAAGAUAAUGAAUAUGGAAAAUACUUUUGUGAACUCAUUCCUCAGAAAACUCAUGCUGCAGAAAAGCUCUGAGAAAGUAAUAAAAAUGUGAAAACUUUGUGCCAGCGAUCAAAACUCAUUCAUAAUCAAAGUCACACAAUGAGAAAAGCUAGAAUAUAAUAAAUGUGUGAUAAACUUUAGCCAGAAGUCAGUACAGUAGAAAAUACAUACAGGAUAGAGACCUCAUCGUAUAUUAAGCAAGAAAUGAAGAUAAUGGAUGUGGGAAAUUCUUCUGCCAUGUCAACCCUCAUUUUAACUUACACAGAGAAUGAAAUGGAGGAAAACCUUGGGACUCAGACUCUGACGAUGGAAAACACGAUUGUAGGAAUCAAGGUCAGAGAAGGACCCUGUGGCAUGGAGUUUUCUCCUCAAUGUACACGGAUGGACUUUUUGCAGUGAGAAAAUAAAUUUGUUCCCUCCUGAGCUUCUAAAGGUCUCGGUAUACUUGAUACUGACAGAAACUCAACAAUACUCACAUAAUAAAACAUAUGAGUAUGAUUUUUCAGGAUGUCUGAACUCAGUGUAUGUCAGAAAAGUCACAUAGAACAAACCUCCAACAGCAUCCUGAAUGACCAUAGCUUCUAUCUCCAAGUCUUACACAUCAGUCAGGUAAUAUCAGAAAAAAUCUGACAUUUUAACAAAUGAAGGAAAUUCUUCACACACACACACACACACACACAGUUGCACAUACAUACCCAAAAUCCUAUUAAAUAUCUGAUAAUUUAGUUUUGAAUGUGUAAAAGUUUUCAAAAAUUAUCAUAUUUUAUAUCAGAGCUUGUUACAAGGGGAAAAUCUAUCAGUUUGAGAAAGGUAAGUAAAGCCUUUAUCUAGAUAUUGCUAUAUGAGAACUGUUGUUUCAUAUAUAGUAUCAAAACCUUUAAUGAUGUAACAUAUUGGUAGGCAUUCACUAUCAUAAAAAGCCUAAAACGAACAAGAAAUAAACUGCAGAAACUGAAAAGCAGCGUCACAAAUAGGUGAAUAUUUUGUGAAUUAUUGAUUUUUUAUGUUCGUAUAUGUGCAUGCUACUUACCAGGCAUUUGUUUUAUGUGUCUUAGAACUCAACAUCACUGUAGGAGAAUUGUGUUCUUCUUGCUUUAUAACUACUCUGACGUCAGCCACAAUUUGCCACGAGUAUUAAUAACAAACCUUGUACAGAAGGGUUUUUACUGAUACCACAUUCCCGUCUCCUGCUGCCUUCUGAUGUGUCUCUCUAGUAAAGCCCACUGUUACUAAACUGCCUCUUUUCAAAGAAGCCAGUGUCAGUGUCACCAAUACAUUUCUUUCUUUCUUCUCUCUCUGUGUGUGUGUG
ensembl:lncRNA